CAAUAGCGUAUAUUAAAGUUGUUGCAGUUAAAAAGCUCGUAGUUGGAUUUCUGGUGGGAGCGAUCGGUCUGGCGCUUAGCGCGAGUACUUGCAUCGUCUCCGGCCAUCCUUGGGGAGAGUCUGUCUGGCAUUAGGUUGUCGGGCAGAGGAUCCUCAUCGUUUACUGUGAAAAAAUUAGAGUGUUCAAAGCAGGCUUAUGCCGUUGAAUAUAUUAGCAUGGAAUAAUGAGAUAGGACUUUGGUACUAUUUUGUUGGUUUGCGCACCAAAGUAAUGAUUAAUAGGGACAGUUGGGGGUAUUCGUAUUCCGUUGUCAGAGGUGAAAUUCUUGGAUUUACGGAAGACGAACUACUGCGAAAGCAUUUACCAAGGAUGUUUUCAUUAA
rnacentral:rRNA from 1 species